CCUACGGGAGGCAGCAGUGAUGAAUAUUGGUCAAUGGCCGUAAGGCUGAACCAGCCAAGUAGCGUGAGGGAAGACUGCCCUAUGGGUUGUAAACCUCUUUUAUGCGGGGAUAAAGGUGUCCACGUGUGGCUGUUUGCAGGUACCGCAUGAAUAAGGACCGGCUAAUUCCGUGCCAGCAGCCGCGGUAAUACGGAAGGUCCGGGCGUUAUCCGGAUUUAUUGGGUUUAAAGGGAGCGUAGGCCGGUCUUUAAGCGUGCCGUGAAAUUUUGUGGCUCAACCAUGAGAGUGCGGCGCGAACUGGAGACCUUGAGUGCGCGGAAGGCAGGCGGAAUUCGUGGUGUAGCGGUGAAAUGCUUAGAUAUCACGAAGAACCCCGAUUGCGAAGGCAGCCUGCCGCAGCGUUACUGACGCUGAAGCUCGAAAGCGCGGGUAUCGAACAGGAUUAGAUACCCUAGUAGUC
rnacentral:rRNA from 1 species